UGCCCUCCUCGCCCCGCAGCCCCCUCGUCUGCUCCUCCUCCUUCUCUUGCUCUCCUCCCGCCUUCUACUUCCCCUCGCCUCCUCCUCCUUUCUCCUCAUCCCCCACCUACCCUUCACCUCCUUCCCCUUUCUCCUCCCUCUCUCCUCCUCCUCCUCCUCCUCUCCCCGCUUCUUCCUCCUCCCCACCAUCCCCCCUCCCUCCCGGCGUGCCAGCUCACUUCAGGCGUGACCAUUCUGUCCCCGAGGUCUAUAUCUAAACGUGUGACCCGAUCCGCUAACCCACCUGUAACGCGAAUGAAGCCGUUGUGUGCAAAUUGUGGAACCCGUUUUAUCUUCCAAAACAAAACAAAACAAAUAGUGGGCUAAUAAAUUCAUCCAUCUGUUUACUAAAUUCAUUUAUCUCUAAAUAAUUGCUUCUCUUAUAUAAAAGAAAAAAAUAAAUAUUUUAUCGUACUUUUUUAUUUUCCUAAAUAACUCUUUGAUCAAUUCCGAUUAAAUAAAAUAUAAAUAAUACAAUUUAAAAUGAUCUAUUUUUUAAAAAAAAAGCAAUGUUGUUUUUUUUCUGUUUGUCUUUUACGACAUGAACAAUGUCUGUCCUGUUUUUCUGACUUAUCUUUAUUGGGGCGUUGGGGUAGUAGUAUUGUUCAUUCCUCAUCAUCUCAUCUGUCACUU